rnacentral:rRNA from 1 species
GUGGGUAGUUUGACUGGGGCGGUCUCCUCCUAAAGAGUAACGGAGGAGCACGAAGGUUGGCUAAUCCUGGUCGGACAUCAGGAGGUUAGUGCAAUGGCAUAAGCCAGCUUGACUGCGAGCGUGACGGCGCGAGCAGGUGCGAAAGCAGGUCAUAGUGAUCCGGUGGUUCUGAAUGGAAGGGCCAUCGCUCAACGGAUAAAAGGUACUCCGGGGAUAACAGGCUGAUACCGCCCAAGAGUUCAUAUCGACGGCGGUGUUUGGCACCUCGAUGUCGGCUCAUCACAUCCUGGGGCUGAAGUAGGUCCCAAGGGUAUGGCUGUUCGCCAUUUAAAGUGGUACGCGAGCUGGGUUUAGAACGUCGUGAGACAGUUCGGUCCCUAUCUGCCGUGGGCGCUGGAGAACUGAGGGGGGCUGCUCCUAGUACGAGAGGACCGGAGUGGACGCAUCACUGGUGUUCG